GAUUUACUCCCUCCGUUCCAAAAUAGAUGACCCAACUUUGCACUAACUUUGUACAAACUUAGUGCAAAGUUGGGUCAUCUAUUACAAAGUUAGUGCAAAGUUGGGUCAUCUAUUUUGGAACGGAGGGAGUACAAU
rnacentral:pre_miRNA from 1 species